rnacentral:rRNA from 1 species
UACGGGGGGGGCAAGCGUUGUUCGGAAUUACUGGGCGUAAAGGGCUCGUAGGUGGCCAACUAAGUCAGACGUGAAAUCCCUCGGCUUAACCGGGGAACUGCGUCUGAUACUGGAUGGCUUGAGUUUGGGAGAGGGAUGCGGAAUUCCAGGUGUAGCGGUGAAAUGCGUAGAUAUCUGGAGGAACACCUGUGGCGAAAGCGGCGCACUGGACCACAACUGACGCUGAGGCGCGAAAGCUAGGGGAGCAAACAGG